rnacentral:misc_RNA from 1 species
AAGUCGUAACAAGGUUUCCGUAGGUGAACCUGCGGAAGGAUCAUUAUCGAAUAAACUUGUACAGGUUGUUGCUGGCCCUUAGGGGUAUUGUGCACGCUUGUCAUCUUUAUCAUUUCUCCAAAACUGUGCACAUACUUGUAGACCUGGAGUGGGCUUUUUUAUUUCGAAUUCAUAUUCGAAGUUGGGGGACUGCUGCGCUUUUUCAUACACAAAAAAAAGUCGGCUUUCCCUUGUAUUUUUAAUAACCAGGUCUAUGUUUUCACAAAAACAUAUAUGUUUAGAAUGCUAUAAUAAAUAAAAAAAGUUAUAAACAACUUUCAGCAACGGAUCUCUUGGCUCUCGCAUCGAUGAAGAACGCAGCGAAAUGCGAUAAGUAAUGUGAAUUGCAGAAUUCAGUGAAUCAUCGAAUCUUUGAACGCAUCUUGCGCUCCUUGGUAUUCCGAGGAGCAUGCCUGUUUGAGUGUCAUUUGACUUCUCUCAACCACAUCGAAAUUGAUGUGCGCUUGGAUGUGGGGGUUUUGCAGGCUUUCUUUUCUAAUGAAAGCUGGCUCCCCUGAAAUGCAUUAGUGGUGACCUGAGCUGCUAUUGGUGUGAUAAAUCUAUCUAUGCCUUUAGUAAUGCUGGUCAGCACCGCUUAUAACAACAAACAUUUGACAAAUUUGACCUCAAAUCAGGUAGGACUACCCGCUGAACUUAAGCAUAUCAAUAAGCGGAGGAAAAGAAACUAACAAGGAUUCCCCUAGUAACUGCGAGUGAAGCGGGAAAAGCUCAAAUUUGAAAUCUGGCAGCUCUUUGAACUGUCCGAGUUGUAAUCUAGAGAA